rnacentral:lncRNA from 1 species
GGGGAACACACCAGGCCUGGCUGCGCGCUGAGAGCAGUCAAGAUUACUAAUGGCAGGACAGAAAGUAACAGCAACAAAAGGAGAUCCAGGGCCGGGCCGGAGCUGGGAAGACAGCGCUAAUGAGAACACUGAGAUGCAUUCCAGGCGAAAGGGUAACCCAAAAAUGAGCUGGAAUUCUGGACGAGAUCACCUGAUGCCUGAGUUUCUGGGGCUGCUUCCCCCUCUCCAGGUGAAUCUAGAAAUGGAAUUGCCUAAGGAUUUGGCAGAAGGUGAAAAAGAAGAGCUAAAGAGGAGCAUAGAAGGAGACACUUGGCCUUUGUGUCCAGAGAAGAAAGAGAAUGCCUUUGGGGAGGUUGCGAUCACCAGACGGCUGGCCCUCAGCAACACUGAAGCCCAGAAGUCGGAUUGCCCAGCGGCUUAUGGGGAGUGACCCCUUUGUUUCUCUGAAGCCGUCUCCUCCUAAUCCCCUUAGCUCUAUAAAAGCCCGCUGCUUUCUGUUCUUGGGGAGACAGACUCCAGCAAACCCAGGCUCCCAUCCACUCAUUUUGGCCAAUUUAAUUAAAUCUUUCUCCAUCUCCAAGCACCGGUGUCUCAGUGUUUGGCUUGCUGUGCAUCGGGCACACAAGCUUGAGAUUAAGAGGUUCAGUAUCGAUCAUUCUGUUUAAUUGCCUGAAACACAAGGCUCAAAUGAUCCUGAGAAGAAGACUGGCUCGCACACAGCCUAGUAGAGCUCAGUGCUGGACCGCUGUGAAAAAUUCCAAUCCAAUGGUGGCUUGUUUAUUUUAAAUUAUUCAAAAUCAUUUUAAAGCCUUAAAAAUGGAAGUAGUUGCAACUUCAUGUGGUGAAAUAACAUGGGUAUUUGAGAAGAGAAAUGUGAUAUUGUUUAUAAUGAUAAUAAUAUCGGCCACCACGUACUAGCCCUUACUGUGUUCCAGGUUUUCUACUAA